UCUUGCUUGAUAAAAAAAGGGUUCCUGGAAAAUGCAGGAUGUGAACCUAUGUGAAUGGCUGGCAAGGAUGCAGAGCUUAUUCCAGGGAUUGGUUUAGACUUGACCAUGUGACGUAGCUCUGACCAAUCAUACUGAGGAGAAGUCUGCGGGGAUGGCCUUUUCUUCUUCUGGACAUGGUUGUAUCCAGAUGUAAAGUCUGGCACUGGGACAGUCACCUGACUGUCAAGGAGGGGGAGGCUAGCCCAAAAAUGAAGCCUGCUCACCAGGGUGACAGAGCAGCAAGAUGGAAAGAACUUGGACCUUGAGCAUGUCAUCGAGCCAUGGAAUUAUCCAACCCUGGAUCUGUCCUAUUCUUGGACUUCUAGAUGUAGGAUAAUAAAUGUACUUGAUGUUUCAGCCAGA